GCUCAUCACAUCCUGGGGCUGAAGUAGGUCCCAAGGGUAUGGCUGUUCGCCAUUUAAAGUGGUACGCGAGCUGGGUUUAGAACGUCGUGAGACAGUUCGGUCCCUAUCUGCCGUGGGCGCUGGAGAAUUGAGGGGGGCUGCUCCUAGUACGAGAGGACCGGAGUGGACGCAUCACUGGUGUUCGGGUUGUCAUGCCAAUGGCAUUGCCCGGUAGCUAAAUGCGGAAGAGAUAAGUGCUGAAAGCAUCUAAGCACGAAACUUGCC
rnacentral:rRNA from 1 species